AGUUACCAGAAGAGUUGAGCAGAAUACAUAAUACGCUCUACGUUUCACAUCCAAGAAAGUGUUUAGUAGAUGAUAUGGCUUAUGUUCCUUUCGGUGAUAUAGAAAUUGAUAACAAACUCAAUUAUAUAGCAAAUCCUAUUGCAAUCCUCGACCAUAAGGUUAAGGGUUUAAGGAAACAAAGAAAUUGACCAAGUAAAGGUCAAAUGGGAGCACCAAAAAAGGAUCAGACACCAUUUGGGAGUCUGAAGAGGGAAUGAGGCAACUCGGGUGAAGCUUCGGGGAGUCAAGCUGGGGCAAAUACAAGGUUGAAGGAAAACCCAUAAGUUUUUAGGUAAUGCAAGCUCAUGGAUGAGGGUCAAGUCAAUGCUUCCGAACCGAACACAUCCAAAAUCUCAUUCCGCAACUUUUGCCAUUGUUAGUUGUUAAUGAAUCUAUGUAGUCGAAGGAACUAUAAUGUUGUUUUUAAA